ACAUCCCAGAAAAAUAGGUAGGUCAUAUGCUAGAUCUCAAUAUAAAAUGGGCUUACUUGUUGAUAUUAAGCCAGUUGCUCUAAGAGUUAGAUGCUUUUAACUAGUAUAAGUUAUACCCAUACCCAAGCCUUGCUACUAUUAGUUCCUAAACUCAUCAAACAGCAAUCCCACUUCCACCCAAAGAGGAAAAUAGACCUCUUCCCAGCGUGCAACAAGCUCAAACACCCAUCAUAAAAUUUUAAAAACGUAGGGAUAAUCAUAAAACGUCUGCAUGCCUCAAAUUGCCUACUCUACUGUGGUAUUUAAAAAAUAAUAUGGUUGAACCAGAUCUUGUGCCCUGAAUCCAGUGACAACCCCGUCAUCAAUGUUAAACCAAAAUUGAUAGAUGUGCCAAAUCAUCAAUUUUACUGCAUAGCUCCUGACUUGCCCAAAAUCAGAACCUGCAUUUUUCAAGCUUCUUUCCUAGUUAUCCUGAAGCAAUUAAU
rnacentral:misc_RNA from 1 species